rnacentral:rRNA from 1 species
CGGAGGGUGCAAGCGUUAUCCGGAUCACUGGGUUUAAAGGGUGUGUAGGCGGGCUAUUAAGUCAGUGGUGAAAUCUCCGGGCUCAACCCGGAAACUGCCAUUGAUACUAUAAGUCUUGAAUGUUGUUGAGGUUUGCGGAAUGGGUCAUGUAGCGGUGAAAUGCAUAGAUAUGACCCGGAACACCUAUUGCGAAGGCAGCAGGCUAAACAAAUAUUGACGCUGAGGCUCGAAAGCGUGGGGAUCAAACAGGAUUAGAUACCCUGGUAGUCCACGCCCUAAACUAUGAUUACUCGACAUAUGCGAUACACUGUAUGUGUCUGAGCGAAAGCAUUAAGUAAUCCACCUGGGAAGUACGACCGCAAGGUUG